UCAACGGAUAAAAGGUACUCCGGGGAUAACAGGCUUAUCUCCCCCAAGAGUUCAUAUCGACGGGGAGGUUUGGCACCUCGAUGUCGGCUCAUCGCAUCCUGGGGCUGGAGCAGGUCCCAAGGGUUUGGCUGUUCGCCAAUUAAAGCGGUACGCGAGCUGGGUUUAAAACGUCGUGAGACAGUUUGGUCCUUAUCUGCUGUGGGCGUAGGAUAUUUGAGGGGAUCUGUUCCUAGUACGAGAGGACCGGGAUGGACGAACCACUGGUGUUCCUGUUGUCGCGCCAGCGGCAAUGGCAGGGUAGCCACGUUCGGCAGGGAUAACCGCUGAAAGCAUCUAAGCGGGAAGCCCACCCCAAGAUAAGAUAUCCCGUGGGUUAAUCCCCACCUGAAGGCUCGUCAUAGACCAUGACGUUGAUAGGCCGGGUGUGGAAGUGUGGCAACACAUGGAGCUUACCGGUACUAAUUAGCCGUGCGGCUUGACCAU
rnacentral:ncRNA from 1 species